UACAGAGGUCUCAAGCGUUGUUCGGAUUCAUUGGGCGUAAAGGGUGCGUAGGCGGCGCGGUAAGUCGGGUGUGAAAUCUCGGAGCUUAACUCCGAAACUGCAUUCGAUACUGCCGUGCUUGAGGACUGGAGAGGAGACUGGAAUUUACGGUGUAGCGGUGAAAUGCGUAGAUAUCGUAAGGAAGACCAGUGGCGAAGGCGGGUCUCUGGACAGUUCCUGACGCUCAGGUGCGAAAGCGUGGGGAGCAAACAGG
rnacentral:rRNA from 1 species